rnacentral:rRNA from 1 species
UGCCAGAGCCAUAUCACCCUGCAGCCCAAGACCGGUUACUCACUGAAGCUAAGCAGGGCUGAGCCUGGUUAGUACCUGGAUGGGAGACCACUAGGGAACACUAGGUUGCUGUUGGAA